CCAGAAAAAAGCUGCCUACUCAAAUUUUUUUAUUAUCCUGAUUUGAAGAAGUUUUUUUUUAAUCAGAUAGGCAUGAAGACUAAUAAACACCCAAUACCUCAAUUUCUCUUUUUGAAAAAAAAAGAAAAUGCCUACCUACCUACCUACCCACUGUCUCAACCUUUGGGUAGGGUUUGGGCAAACCAAAAUAUUUUUAAUUGUGGCCC
rnacentral:lncRNA from 1 species